GUGCACAACACAGAUCUCUGCAGAGGAAAGGCAGUUGCUUGGACCUCUCAAGGUCUGGGAAAAGACAGGUUUGUUAUCCAUGGGAUCUUAUGAAGAUCAGCACGAGCCUGAUACCUCUCCAAAAUUUUUAUGUAUAAAAAUCCGUAAGACA